AACUCAUGGUGGGGACACGAAUGGAUCAUCUCCUUAAACCGCUCCCAAGCUGCCGCAAGCGUCUCAUCGCUCUCUUGCUCAAAUGAGGAGAUCUUCCUCCUUAAGUC
rfam:Beta vulgaris subsp. vulgaris Bvchr6.sca025.con0052.1, whole genome shotgun sequence.